UUGACAGUCUCAGAGAUCAAAGUCCUCUUUUUAUCAACUGAGCAGACAUAACACAGAGAGUAAAAAUUUCCCAUCUGCUAAACCCUUGCUCUGGAGAUUUUACCUGUAAAGAAUGAAAAGAUUUUUCAAGCUCUUUGCCUUUUCCUUUUCUUGAGAGA
rnacentral:sRNA from 1 species